GGCACUAUAGCCAAGUGGUAAGGCAGAUGUCUGCAAAACCUUUAUUUCCCAGUUCAAAUUUGGGUGGCACCUCCA
rnacentral:tRNA from 1 species